rnacentral:rRNA from 1 species
UCCUGGCUUAGAACGAACGCUGGCGGCGCGUCUUAAGCAUGCAAGUCGAACGGCAAGAGGUAGCAAUACCUCCUAGAGUGGCGGACUGGUGAGUAACACGUGGGUGACAUACCCUUCAGAUGGGGAUAGCUAUUAGAAAUAGUAGAUAAUACCGAAUACGAGCACAGGGGUUAGAGAUCUGUGAGGAAAGGAGCUAAGGCUCCGCUGAAGGAAUGGCCUGCGGCCCAUUAGCUAGUUGGUGAGGUAAGAGCCCACCAAGGCGAUGAUGGGUAUCCGGCCUUAGAGGGUGAACGGACACAUUGGGACUGAGAUACGGCCCAGACUCCUACGGGAGGCAGCAGCUAAGAAUAUUCCGCAAUGGACGAAAGUCUGACGGAGCGACGCCGCGUGGAUGAAGAAGGCCGGAAGGUUGUAAAAUCCUUUUGAAACUGAAGAAUAAGCGUUGUAGGGAAUGACAGCGUGGUGACAGUAGGUUUUGAAUAAGCAACGGCUAAUUACGUGCCAGCCGCGGC